rnacentral:rRNA from 1 species
GAUGAACGCUGGCGGCGUGCCUAAUACAUGCAAGUCGAGCGAAGCGGGGACGGGUGAGUAACGCGUGGAUAACCUCCUAUAAGACUGGGAUAACUUCGGGAAACCGUAGCUAAACCGGAUAAUUAUAGCUGGAUCCGCGUUGCAUUAGCUAGUGGGUAAGGUAACGGCUUACCAAGGCAACGAUGCAUAGCCGACCUGAGAGGGUGAUCGGCUACACUGGAACUGAGACACGGUCCAGACUCCGACGGGAGGCAGCAGUAGGGAAUCUUCCGCAAGGAGCGAAGUCUGGACGGAGCAACGCCUCGGGAGUGAUGAAGUUCUUCGGAUCGUAAAACCUGGUUAUUAGGUAAGCGGUACCUAAUCAGAAAGCCACGGCUAACUACGUGCCAGCAGCCGCGGUAAUAC